rnacentral:rRNA from 1 species
GCGUUUUAAACAUGCAAGUCGAACGGUAGCCUUUGAGCUUGCUUAGAGGUGAGAGUGGCAAACGGGGAGUAACACGUGGAUAAUCUGCCUUUGGGAUGGGGACAACAGCCGGAAACGGUUGCUAAUACCGAAUGAUAUGAGAUAGGCAUAGGCUUAUUUUAUUAAAGAGUGGGGCUCGCAAGACCUACUGCCUGAAGAUGAGUCCGCGGCCCAUUAGCUUGUUGGCAGGGUAAUGGCCUACCAAGGCGACGAUGGGUAGCCGGCCUGAGAGGGUGAUCGGCCACAUUGGGACUGAGACACGGCCCAGACUCCUACGGGAGGCAGCAGUUAAGAAUUUUGCGCAAUGGGCGGAAGCCUGACGCAGCGACGCCGCGUGAACGAUGAAGGCCUUCGGGUUGUAAAGUUCAGUAAGCAGGGAAGAAUAAUCAGCGGGUAAUAUUCGCUGAGAUGACGGUACCUGCCUAAAGCCCCGGCUAACUACGUGCCAGCAGCCGCGGUAAUACGUAUGGGGCGAGCGUUGUUCGGAAUUAUUGGGCGUAAAGGGCGCGUAGGCGGGGGAUUAAGUUAGUUGUGAAAUCCAUGGGCUCAACCCAUGAACUGCAUCUAAAACUGGUUCUCUUGAGUUUGGGAGAGGAGAGCGGAAUUCCCGGUGUAGCGGUGAAAUGCGUAGAUAUCGGGAAGAACACCAGUGGCGAAGGCGGCUCUCUGGCCUAAAACUGACGCUGAAGCGCGAAAGCGUGGGGAGCAAACGGGAUUAGAUACCCCGGUAGUCCACGCUGUAAACGUUGUAUACUAGGUGUUGGUAGUUUACUACCGGUGCCGUAGUUAACGCAUUAAGUAUACCGCCUGGGGAGUACGGCCGCAAGGCUGAAACUCAAAGGAAUUGACGGGGACCCGCACAAGCGGAGGAGCAUGUGGUUUAAUUCGAUGAUACGCGAGGAACCUUACCUGGGCUAGAACGCAGAACGACGUUUCGGGAAACCGGAAUUCUCUUCGGAGCGAUCUGCGAGGUGCUGCAUGGUUGUCGUCAGCUCGUGCCGUGAGGUGUCGGGUUAAGUCCCAUAACGAGCGCAACCCCUAUUCUUAGUUGCCAUCAGGUAAUGCUGGGGACUCUAAGAAAACUGCCUACGCAAGUAGUGAGGAAGGUGGGGAUGACGUCAAAUCAGCACGGCCCUUAUGUCCAGGGCUACACACGUGCUACAAUGGCCGGUACAGAGGGCAGCCACCUGGUGACAGGGAGCAAAUCUCCAAAGCCGGUCUCAGUUCGGAUCGAAGUCUGCAACUCGACUUCGUGAAGUUGGAUUCGCUAGUAAUCGUAUAUCAGCAACGAUACGGUGAAUACGUUCCCGGGCCUUGUACUCACCGCCCGUCA